GCAGUGGUGGUUCAGUGGUAGAAUUCUCACCUUCCAUGUGGCAGACUCAGGUUCAAUUCCAGGCCAAUACA
rnacentral:tRNA from 1 species